GUUUCAUUGGUAACUAUCUCAACUACUGCUUGCAAUCUUAUAAUACGAUUAAGCAUAUAUAUUGGGGUUCUGUAUCCAUAAGUACCAUCCUCUGCCCAUGUAGCUGGCCCAUAAUAAUCUAUAAUACGCUGGGGAGGCCACUCAUCAUCUUCCCAGGUACCUAUCUCUAGGGGUGCCCUUUUCUUCCUAUGAUUUACAUCAUAUACUUUAACUCCCAAAGUCUCUCCUGUUUCAAUUGGCAACAAGAAGAAGGAUGGUUUGAGCAUACCUAGUACACAUGCCCCUUCCCAGUCUUGUGGUAACUCCGAAUAUGCCUUCUUACCACAAAUCCAGUACAAUUUUGCUGGGGCUUUCCAACUAGAUGUAGCAGAUAGGUCAAACCAUACAUCCUUUAAAUUGGUAUAAUUUGCAAACGGAUUAGACGGUUCUGAAACAUUUGAAGCUGGCCACCAAAUAGCAUCCUUUGUAUCGACAUUAUAGGCUUUCUGCCCUAAACAAGUCAAUUCUCCUACAGAUGUAUUAAACAUUAUUCCUUUCCUUGCUAUACAAACAUAACCUAUAAUGGAGGUCUUUAAUCGCCACUCAGAUUUACCUCUAACACUCACUUGAUAAUCAGAUUGAGAAGAUAUUAGUUGUUCAACUGUCUCAGAACCAGAAUACAUUACCUCCUUUGCUUCCCAAGGCCAUUGGUCUCCCAUAUUAGUACCUCCACACACAUAGCAGUUGGUUACAUUAAGACUACCAGCAAUGCUCUCAGCUAGGUCUAUGAAUAAGUUUUUGGCAUUAUGGGGAACCUUAUCUUCCACACUCAUCUCCUCAUAAAAAAAAUGGAAAACCUGAUGAGUCUGGGGGGCCACUGUAUCUGUCUCUAUUCCUAUGUAUAAUAUCGUCCCAGGAUCCAAACCUGUUCCAUAUAUUUGGAACCCAAAUAGAUUCCCAAACUUAUCUAUAAAUAGCUCUGGGUCCUUGAUAAGUAUAUGGACUGGGUUACACUCCACAGACUUACAAUAUGGCUUGGUAGGCAAUCUAGUGAUAAUCAUAUCCUUAUCUACUGUCUGUCCCCAGGUUGCCCAUCCCACACAGGACCAAUACGGACAAUAAUUGUAGUCUUUAUUUAGGCAGUUUGGAUCUAUAUACUUAUGCUUAUUACUAGGACAAAUAUACUUAUCAUUAGACCCAUACGUUCUUUCCCAUUUAAGACCACCACAUACAUUCCAUGGCUUCCUACUACC